CCCGAGUAGCUGGGAUCACAGGCAUGUGCCACUACACCCAGCUAAUUUUUUUUUUUUUUUUUUUUUUUUUGUAUUUUUAGUAGAGAUGGGAUUUCACCAUGUUGGCCAGGCUGGUCUUGAACUCCUGACCUCAGGUGAUCCACCUGCCUCGGCCUCCCAGAGUGCUGGGAUUAUAGGCGUGAGCCACCACGCCCGGCCUGUUUCCUUUGGUUUAAAGUGGAUUCGAAUCAGUGUUAAAUCAGAAAAUCAGGGUUUUCUAGGAAAUUGGGAAUUAGUUGCCAGAAAGGAAACUGAACUAUGCAGAAGGAGUUAAGAGCUGGGAUGAGGCUGGAUGGGGUGACUGACAGUCUGGAUCAUUGAAACUGAUUAGGUCUUCAGAAAUGGGUCCAGAUGAGGAUGAGGCUGAGGCUGGAUGGGGUGACUGACAGUCUGGAUCAUUGAAACUGAUUGGGUGGUUGGUCAGAAACGGGUCCAGAUGAGGAUGAGGCUGGAUGGGGUGACUGACAGUCUGGAUCAUUGAAACUGAUUGGGUCGUCAGAAACUGGUCCAGAUGAGGCUGGAUGGGGUGACUGACAGUUUGGAUCAUUGAAACUGAUUGGGUGGUCAGAAACGGGUCCAGAUGAGGAUGAGGCUGGAUGGGGUGACUGACAGUCUGGAUCAUUGAAACUGGUCCACUAUGACGCAGCAGGGGCAGUUUGGCAGAGCAUCCUCUUCCCUUGUCCUUGUGAAAGAACACAGGAAACAUUUGGGUUUUACAGCUUUUCACACCCUACUAUCAGGCAUCAGAAUCAAAAUUAGUUACUAAAUUGGGUGAAUUUUUGGAAACCUGCAUUUCUAUUCAUCUGCUAUUCCAGAAAAAAAUGGGAAUGUAUUACAGGAGAGUUACCUCACAGUGUCUUAUGUUGUGGAACCUGAAGCAUAACCACGUGUUUUCUUAUAUGAUCAUUUGUGUUGAUACUGCUUUUAUUUGAGUUUAUGAACAGAAAUAGAAAGUAUGGUGCUUGGGUUUUGCCCUUUCUUACUCCUGAAAGUUAAAUCAGAAGACACUGAUUUCAUUUUGUGAAAUUUAGCUCAGAGACGAUUGAUCUUUUGUUUCAUUAAUAUGAACAACUAUUAGUAAAAAAAUAGCUUUAACAGCAUUUCUGCUGAUAUCUAGUAAUCUAUUCUUUUAAUGUGAAAAUACGAUAAAAUGUCCUGGAGCUAAUUCUAGCUUAAAUUUGCCAGUAUUUCUUCUGUAUGUCAUUAAGUUUUUUUCCUCUAAGGUUGGUAAUAGAAUUUUGUUAAUCUUUGCAUACCUGAUGGCAUCUAUGUCAAUGCUGAUUGGGUAAUUAUAAAUUCUGUGCUCAUUUAAAACUUAAUUUGCCUCUUAAGGUGAUUGUCCUCUGAGUAAUGAUUGUAGUUAAAUGAAGUAUAGCUUGCAACUAUACUAUCACAUGGGUUGUUAAGUAAAAAUAAAUAAACCAAAUUUGUCUGAGACAGGCUAAGAUCAAUCUUCUCAUCAAACCAGUUUUUCUCUAAGAGCAAUUUCACUUUAAGUUUUAGGGUGGACAUUCUUGAAUGCCUCAAAUUAAACGUUAUCUAUUUAAUCUUCCUGGAAUAGUCUGUGACCAAAAAGGAGGGUGUGAUAUAUUUAGGUGUAAAUAUAUCACAUAUAUGGUGUGAUAUAUUUGGGAUUUAUAUAUUCAGCUCAUUCUCUGUGAAGAAGUCUUCCUGACUAAAAUUGGUUUCAAGAUAAACUAAUUUCUGUUAGUAUUUCUACUCUGCCUACCAUGUAUGCCUUUUUGUUAGAAACUAAUAAAUGUAUCAGUCACUAGCAGGUACUGGUCCUUUUUCCUCUCAUUUUUGUGGAAAGGAUAUGCAAACGUUGAAUUUCUCAGGGAGUACUAAGGCUGUG
rnacentral:lncRNA from 1 species